rnacentral:misc_RNA from 1 species
AAUAUUUUAAGAAAGAGGCAUCGAUUUAUAAUAACCUGAGAGAAGAAAUAUGACAUCCUUUGGAUUUCAACAUAUUUGAACAUAUAUAAAUGUUUCUGAUCCAUUAGAGGACUCGAAAUACUUCUGGUUGGCGGCUACGCUUUUCUGACUGGUCACUUGGUAAAUAGAAAAUAUGUCGUUAUCAUUUUGGUGCAUCGAACUUUUUGCUUUUGUGCACGCUUAUGUUAACGUCGCACAAAACAAACCGGCAUACCAAGAAUACCAAUGGGAUCUAGGUAACACAAUAUCUGACGCCAGUAAUGCUGUAGAUGGAAAUAAAUCUAAACUGAAUUGGGCAGGAGGCCAAUGUGUUAUCUCAGAAAAUAACAAACAAACCGCUACUUGGUGGGUAAACCUGAUCAAUAUCCACAGAAUCCAUCACAUCACCAUCUACUAUAGGACUGAAAAUAUAACAUGGGGUCGUCAAAGUUAUUGUACAUCUAGAUUUCUUGGGUUUUCGGUGUAUGUGUCAAACACAACAGACAAACUUCAGGGAACACUCUGUUUCAAAGAUGACAACUUUACACUAGACACCAUACCUGCUGUCUUCACCACCAUCUGUCCUGCGUAUGGACAGUAUGUCAUUUUCUACAACGAGAGACUACAAGGAGUAACAUAUCCUAGCGGUUAUUCUCAAUACGCUUAUAAUGACAUUUGUGAAUUGGAGGUUUACGGAUGCCCUGUCAAUGGAUGUUAUGGUUUCAACAAUUCUCUUCCCUGUCCAGACGUUAACUGUCACUACUGUCAUCGAGAAACGGGUACCUGCGAGCGUUGUGAGAGUGGAUACAAAGGUUUCCAAUGUGAAAUAGUUUGUGACAGAGGUUCAUAUGGUUCUGGAUGCAAUGAAACAUGUGGACACUGUCGUGACAUAAAACAGUGUUCUAAUAUCAACGGAUUUUGUUUGACCGGGUGUGAUGUUGGUUAUCAAGGAAACUUGUGUAAAACUCCAUGCGACAGAGGGUUGUAUGGUUCUGAAUGCAAUGAAACAUGUGGACACUGUCGUGCCAUAAACCAGUGUUCCAAUAUAAAUGGAACAUGUGUGACUGGAUGUGAUGCUGGUUAUCAAGGAAACUUGUGUAUGGCAAUUUGUGACAGAGGUUCAUAUGGUUCUGGAUGCAAUGAAACAUGUGGACACUGUCGUGACAUAAAACAGUGUUCUAAUAUCAACGGAACAUGUUUGACCGGGUGUGAUGUUGGUUAUCAAGGAGACUUGUGUAAAACUCCAUGCGACAGAGGGUUGUAUGGUUCAGAAUGUAAUGAAACAUGUGGACACUGUCGUGAUGUAAACCAGUGUUCCAAUAUAAAUGGGACAUGUGUGACUGGAUGUGAUGCUGGUUAUCACGGAAACUUGUGUAUGGCAAUUUGUGACAGAGGUUUCUAUGGUUCUGGAUGCAAUGAAACAUGUGGACACUGUCGUGACAUAGAGCAGUGUUCUACUAUCAACGGAACAUGUUUAACAGGGUGUGAUGUUGGUUAUCAAGGAAACUUGUGUAAAACUCCAUGCGACAGAGGGUUGUAUGGCUCAGAAUGUAAUGAAACAUGUGGACACUGUCGUGAUGUAAACCAGUGUUCCAAUAUAAAUGGGACAUGUGUGACUGGAUGUGAUGCUGGUUAUCAAGGAAACCUGUGUACGACAAUAUGUGACAAAAAUAUGUUUGGGAAAGGGUGUGCAAGGAGAUGUGGACAUUGCCGUAAUGAUACGCAUUGUCACCAUGUAAAUGGUUCUUGCUUAAAUGGUUGCGAAGCGGGAUACAAAGGAAAUCAUUGCAUAGAUGUUUGUGAAUCUGGAUACUAUGGAUUAAAUUGUAAUCAGGAAUGCAGUAUGUUUUGCAAAAAUUCACGUGACUGUCAUCCUAUGUCUGGGUAUUGUAAAGAAGGAUGCAAAAAUGGAUGGCAAGGACUUGACUGUCUGGAAGUAUCAACCCUGGCAAUGAAUGAGAAGAACUGGAAGUCUGCGUUUAGUGGGAUUCUAAGUGCAUUUUGCAUCUCACUCAUUUUCAAUACAAUAACAAUUGCAUACUUUAUAGUGAAACGAAUUAGAAAUUCCACGGCCAAAGCAAAACAACUGAUGAUGCUCCAAUCCGAUAUUUCUG